rnacentral:misc_RNA from 1 species
GAUGAAGAACGUAGCGAAAUGCGAUAAGUAAUGCGAAUUGCAGAAUUCAGUGAAUCAUCGAAUCUUUGAAUGCACAUUGCGCCCGCCAGUAUUCUGGCGGGCAUGCCUGUCUGAGCGUCGUUUCGACCCUCGCGCCCGGCUUCUGUCGGGGGCGGUGUUGGGGAUCGGCCACACCCUUCAGUGGGAGGCCGGCCCCUAAAUUCAGUGGCGACCACGCUGUAGCCUCCCCUGCGUAGUACUAAAACCACCUCGCAGGCGGAGAGCGGUGCGGCCCGCCGUAAAACCCCCCAACUUUUACAAGGUCGACCUCAGAUCAGGUAGGAAUACCCGCUGAACUUAAGCAUAUCAAUAAGCGGAGGA